AUGGAGGUGAAGCAGAUCUCACGUGACAUUAACUUUAUAAAGACGGAACUUGCUAAACUAAACAUUCAUGGAGCUGGACCAGAGUCACAAGAAGACAACUUCCCCAUAAUGCUUCCACUCACCAACGAGGAGAAGUUUGAUGAGACUGAAGCUGCUUUGAGGGAGGAAGCAGUCCGUCGAAAGAUGAUUACCCGCCUGGCAUUAGUCGGAGGGACCAACUCGGAAAAUAUGAUCCGGCGAAUGCUAUCCGCUGCCAUGACAAACAGUCUAGCCUGCAUCUUCAACUGGGUGGGAAAGGGAGAGAAGAGGGCCUUCAAGGACACGCUGAUAAAGGACUGCAUGUUUGCUGCUGCUCGUCAAUUUGACCGCAGGCUGACGGAAUUGACAUUCAGGGUUGGAGUGCAGAAGUGGCUACGUUACGCACCAGAGAGGAAUGGCGGUGUAC